UCAAAGUAGGUUAUUCCCAGGUAUUC
rnacentral:piRNA from 1 species